ensembl:lncRNA
CAGGGGUAUGACUUUAAUGUAGAUUUGUUUGUUGUUGUUAAACAAACAAACAAAACCAAAAAACAAAACAAAACAAAAAAACCAUCCCAGCUUAAGUUUAGGGAAAACAUAACAGGGCCUAUUUUCUGAAAGAGCAGAAAGACUUGAGAGGACAGACAGGAUGAAUAGGCAAGACCUUCUGGGGAGGAACUGACAUGGCUUGGGUACCACUCAUCACUUUGGGCAGCGCUUAUUUAAGUUACAAAUUGGCCAGCUCAGGGACCAGAGGCAGACUACUAAAAAAUUUUUGCUUGUCUUGCACAUGUUUUUUAAAUGCCUGACUGUGUCUGCCAAGUCAUCUGGUCCCCCAAUCCCUAGCGACGUACUCCCAUUUGACUUAACUCAUGGACCUUACCAGCUUUGCCCUCGUCAGCAUAGGGGUGCCUGGAAAAGAAUGAUGGAACUUGGGAGGGAAAGAAGUGAAAAUGGAGAUUUUAAGAAUAGAAUUUGAAAGGCAGGUGAGCCCAGUAAGGGUGAAGGCUAGUGGUACAGACAAAAGACUGUGCACAUAGAGAGUUGAGGCUCUGAGAGAAUGAAUCCAAAGACUCUAAAGGCAAAACUCUGGACACCACUCAUAUCUAAGGGCUGUAUAUCACCAGAAUUCCAAUGAAGGGAAAGAAGCCCCUCAACACAAAACAGGUUAGGAGCUCCUGUUAUGGCUCAGCCGUUAACAAACCCGACUAACACCCAUAAGGAUGUGGGUUUGAUCCCUGGCCUUGCUCAGUGGGUUAAGGAUCAGGCAUUGCCUUGAGCUGUGGUGUAGGUUGCAGACGAGGCUCGGAUCCCGCGUUGCUGUGGCUAUGGUGUAGGCCGGUGGCUGCAGAUCCGAUUGGACCCCUAGUCUGGGAACCUCCAUAUGCCUCGGGUGCGGCCCUAAAAAAACAGAAAGACAAAAAAAAGAAAAAAAAAUUACAAAGACUUAAAGAGGGGGUAGAUGUAGGUGUAUAUGGACAAGGCUAACAGCACAGGGAAGGAGCUGGAACAUCCUUCAGUGAUAUGAAAGGUGGAGGAUCUCAGGAUCUGGUGUCUUAAAAGGCCAGUGGAAAGAGAGAGCCAUAGGAGGUAGGGGGUGUAGGCACAAGUGGAAGAGAAAGAUCUGGGCAAGAGGAGGACACAUACCCCUACUAAGGAAAGACCAGCAAAGACGGACAUGUUUUCAAAUACAAGAGAUGUUACUGAGUGCUAGUUGGGUGGCCUAUAGCUAGUCAGGUCAAGUCAGCAGAGUUAUAGGUACAAAACUGAACUUUAGCAGAAAAAGUUCUGGGGAAUCUGGCAUAAUUCAGGACAGGCUUGCUGAGCAGCAAAGAAAACUCAGCCGAGAUUAGCAAACACUAACUACGCUUCAUAAUGCCGUAAUUUUGUGAUUUUAUUGUCUAUUACAAACUGCAGGUUUGCAAGAGGUUUAAGGGAUUUUUAUUUUUUAGAUGUAAUUAGGAAAGUUAACUUUCCUAUAAAAAUGAUCGGUCUACAAAUAUGAAUUGCAGGCCCAUGAGUGCCACAGCAUACUUUAUUCUUUUUUCUCCUUUUACAGCUGCACCUGCAGCUUAUGAAGUUCCCAGGCUAAAGGGUGGAAUGGGAGCUGCAGCUGCUGGGCUACGCUACAACCACAGCAAUACUGGAUCCGAGCUGCAUCUGCAACCUAUGCCGCAGCUGGCAGCAGCACCAGAUCCUUAACCCACUGAGCACGGCCAGGGACCGAACCAGCAUCCUCAUGGACACUAUGUUGGGUUCUUGAAUCACAACCUGCAUGGUAUAUUCUUAAGUGCACUUGUGUUAAACUAUCAGUCUCUAGGGCAUAGCUCUAGGUUGGGGUCAAAGUUUCUAGUAUGUUAUCUCUUUUUAUCAUAGGAUUGAUUCUCCUCAGGGAUGUUUUUCCCCCCUCUUCUUUGUGGAUGUUGCAAAUUGUGAAACUGAUUAGGAUCCCUUUUGGAGUUAGCUAAUAAUUGAGGGGGGUGGGGAUCUGGAUUCACCUCCAGCUAAGGAACAGAGUUUGGUAGGCUGUUUUAUUGGCCUCACUUCUUCCAAUUUGUAACUCUACCCUCCUUCCUCCUUGUCAUUUGCUUUUGUUAUCUUGUUACAUUUCACAUGUCCUAGAUAUGACUUUAAAUCCUUUUUUGGAACUAAGUAAAAUAUAUAAAUACUAAAAAUAUAAAUACCUGAGGUAUAAGCACCUUAAUACUUGUGGUAAUUAUUAAAUAAAAAGUCCAUCUGCAGUUACAAGGCCGAGAGACCUUUAAAAGCUUUUUGAAAAUCUUACAACCUUCCAUUUAAGAAUAAUGGGUGGUAGUGAAGAGAUCAGAAAGCCAAAGUAUUUAACAGUAGAGGAUUAUAGCAAAAUUAGUCGAAAAAUUAAGACUUGGCCAGAUGCUUGCCCCAAUCCUUUUUGUAUGAGUAGAUAGAUACGUAGCACUAUUACACCUGAGAAUUUAAGGAAAGCAAAUUUGCCCUCUUUAAUUUUGGAAGCUUUCUUUCCAAAUCAACACUAUUCCAAAUCAGUAUCUUGUAGUGGUUAAGAAGGUGGGCUCUGAAGCCAGGACACCUGGUUUCAAAUCCCAGUCCACCAUUAGGGCUGUGUGAACUUUGGGCAACUUAUUUGUUUUCUUCACUUGAAAAAUGGUGUCGGAGUUCCCGUUGUGGCGCAGUGAUUAAUGAAUCCGACUAGGAACCAUGAGGUUUCGGGUUAGAUCCCUGGCCUUGCUCAAUGGGUUAAGGAUCCGGCGUUGCUUUGAGCUGUGGUGUAGGUUGCAGACGAGGCUCGGAUCCCGAGUUUCUGUGGCUCUGGUGCAGGCGGGUGGCUACAGCUCCGAUUAGACCCCUAGCCUGGGAACCUCCAUAUGCCCAGGGAGCGGCCCAAGAAAUGGCAAAAAGACAAAAAGACAAAAAAAAAAAAAAA